AUGUUAUCAAUGCUGCAUCAGUAUGAAGGUUUUACUUGUUCAGCUGGGUUGUUCGCAGAAAGCAAUGCAGGUUUGGUUAGUUCUUAUAACGGUUACGAUCUUAUCACCAAAUUAGGGAAGCAGAGCAAUUCCCAGCCUCCCCUGUGUAUUGCGUUCCUACCAAAACUUUUCUGCAUACCACAACAGGGCACUACAUUCUCUAGCAAUUUAAUAGACAGAGUAAAACAUUUUGCUCGGCAUCGAGCAUUUUCUAGCCAAGUAAUGAAUAGUAGAUAUCCAAAUUUCCAAUCCAUGACGAGUUUUUGUUGUUGUUGUUGUAAUCAGAGGCGGAGCUACAGGGCGGCGGCCCACCCUGGAAUUUUGGUCCGGCCUUUAUACCUAUGCAGUUAG
rnacentral:rRNA from 1 species